CAACAACAAAGGCUGCAGUUCAGACUACAAAAGGUUCGAAAGUGACCACAGCACUGAUAACAAAAAUAAACACAUUAAAACAAACUACUAAAGAUAUUGCGGUUACAUCAGACAAAUCCUCGGUGAAAACAACAUUAAAGCCAAGCGCUGCAGGAGAGUCGCAAGCUGAACCUGUAUCAGAGCCUGCUGACACGGGCGCCACUAUAGGGGCCGUUGUAGGAGCGGUGAUUGGAGUUGCUGCAGUUGUUUGUGCUGUGAUACUAUUCUGGAAAUUAGGUCUAUUGAAAAAAUUCAGGGAGCACUAUUGCAAAAGGUCAAAGGUUGAUAACUAUGAUGUAGAAAAUGGCGAGGCUACACAGAAUGGAACAAAACCUGCAGAAAAAACAUUAAAAGCAUUGUAAAAGUUUAUAUUUCAACAGUCUCCAAUUUUAGAUCUCAGACUAAUCUUCUGUGCCCCAAGUUUAAUUGAAUAUGAGGACCAGUCUCACAACUCUCACAUCUGAUUGGAUGAUUCUAGGAGUAGUCAUGAA